rnacentral:lncRNA from 1 species
GGAUUUUGUGCCUGUAUUACUCAGUGGCUGACUAGGGGCUGCUCUACGGGCUGGGUACCACUUCCAGACAUUUCUGGAUGAGACAGAUUGCUUCUGCCCUGGUUGAGUCUCCAGAGUAGGGUGCAGCUGGGAAGGAUGCACCAGCCAGAUGAAGAAAAUCUACACAGCACCAAGAGUCUACUACAGAAGUACAGGGGGGAAGUCUGGACACAGACCCAGGCACACAGGGAGGAUGCCACAUGCUGAUUGGAGUGAUGCUGCCACAUGCCAAGGAACCACCAGAAGCGGAGAGAGUCCUGGACAGAUCCUUCCCCAGCAUUCUCCGCAGAGCACAGCCCUGCUGACACCUUGAUCUCAACUUCCGGCCUCCAGAACUGUUCACAGAUGAAGAAGAAUUGUGCCCCAGGAUGGAUCACUCCCAGAGCCUCGGAUGAUGCAUUUUGGCACUUUGGAGCUAAUCUGAAAGUUAGAUGAGAUUUUGGACUUUGAGUUGUUACUUUAAUGGGUUGAUAAGGCUGGGAAUCUUGGAGUGGAAUGCAUUUUGCAUAUGGGAUAGAUGUGUAUCUUUGGGGGCCAGAGGGCAGUCUGUGGUAAGCAGACUAAUGCCUCCAUAAAAAUGUCUACCCCUUAUCCCAGAACCCAUGAAUAUGUUAUGGUAAUGACAAAGAUUGCAAAUAGAAUUAAGGUGUUAAUUAGUUGACCUUGAGAUGGGGAGGUCAUCUUGGAUUCUGUAGUGUAACCACAAACAUACAAUGUAAUCACAAGAGUUCUUGUUAAUGGAAGGUGAAGGCAGUAGAGAGAAAAUAAGAGAUGGAAGAAUGAGCAGGACUCAACAUGAUGUGGCUGGCUUGGAGAUGGAGGAAGGGGCCACUAGCCAAGGAGUGUGGGCAGCCUCUAAAGCUGGAAAUGACAAGGGAAUGGAUCCCCCCCUAGAGCUCCAAAGGGAAUACAGCCCUGAAGACCUUGAGUUUUUCCCAGUGAGACCAGUUUGAGACCUCUGACCUCCACAACUGGAAAAUAAUAAAUGUGUAGUUACUUAAGCCACUAAGUUUGUGGUAAUUUUGUUAUAGCAACAACAGAAGAUGAAUACACCUGGUGCUGUAGGAGGGACUCCUGUAGUUCCAGGACAGGAAUGAGGAUUCCUUGGCUGCCUUCUGUCACUGUGUUGGGGAUGGGAAACACUGGACCUGGG